rnacentral:rRNA from 1 species
CCUACGGGAGGCAGCAGUGGGGAAUAUUGGGCAAUGGGCGCAAGCCUGACCCAGCAACGCCGCGUGAAGGAAGAAGGCUCUCGGGUUGUAAACCUCCUUUUAGGGGGAAGAGCAGAAGACGGUACCUCUUGAAUAAGCCACGGCUAACUACGUGCCAGCAGCUGCGGGAAUACGUAGGUGGCAAGCGUUGUCCGGAUUUACUGGGUGUAAAGGGCGUGCAGCCGGAGAGACAAGUCAGAGGUGAAAUCCACGGGCUCAACCCGUGAACUGCAUUUGAAACUGUUUCCCUUGAGUGUCGGAGAGGUAAGCGGAAGUCCUUGUGUAGCGGUGAAAUGCGUAGAUAUAAGGAAGAACACCAGUGGCGAAGGCAGAUUACUGGACGAUAACUGACGGUGAGGCACGAAAGCGUGGGGAGCAAACAGGAUUAGAUACCCGUGUAGUC